AUUGCUGUUGAAUGAGAACAACACCAUACUAGCACAAAAUAAGGCAAGCUUCUGCUUCCAGGCUCUGGUGUUCUCCUACCCAAAAGCCCAGUGUCACUGGAUUACACCAAAUCAAACCAAAAUGCAGUGCAGAGAAACUCAUUACAAUAAUUUUACUAGUGCAUUUAAGCUGUGUAACCCUGAACCAGGCCAAUAUCAAAUGAAAUUAAAGACUCCACAAUAUAGUGUCAUAAGGAAUAUGUCUCUCUGCAUUUCAGACAUUCCUAAAAUUACAAUAAAAUUACACAAUGAUUCAAACAUCGUCUCCUGUGAGACUCAAAGCUCCCUACCUGCGAAUGUAUCCUGGAAGAUCUGCCCAUCAUAUCCCAAGUAAGAAGCAGAGAUAACCAAUGGUAUAAACAUGAAAUGCAUGUCUUUUUUUUGUUGCUAAUUUAUUAAACUAUUUUUCUGUAUAUUUUUGCAGAUGUAUUGAUUCUAAAAACUGGAAAGAGAUACCUGUUGCCAAGCCCAAGGUCAUGGAUUCAGAUCAGUUCUGUCAGAAGAAAAUUGACUUUGCCAGACUUCACUCGAACAGCGAGGACCAUCAUAUCAAAUGCUGCAUCACUAACACAGCAGGGACUCGCUGUAGUGAACAAUUACAACUGCCAACAAGUGAGUCUAAACCCUAAAUUGAAUACUGGACUCAGUAGAU
rnacentral:lncRNA from 1 species